rnacentral:rRNA from 1 species
UACGUAGGGGGCAAGCGUUGUCCGGAGUUAUUGGGCGUAAAGAGCGUGUAGGCGGCUAGGUAGGUCCGUUGUGAAAACUCGAGGCUCAACCUCGAGACGCCGGUGGAAACCAUCUAGCUAGAGUCCGGAAGAGGAGAGUGGAAUUCCUGGUGUAGCGGUGAAAUGCGCAGAUAUCAGGAAGAACACCCGUGGCGAAGGCGGCUCUCUGGAACGUGACUGACGCUGAGACGCGAAAGCGUGGGGAGCGAACAGG